rnacentral:rRNA from 1 species
UACGUAGGGUGCGAGCGUUAAUCGGAAUUACUGGGCGUAAAGCGUGCGCAGGCGGUUCGCUGUGUCCGAUGUGAAAGCCCCGGGCUUAACCUGGGAAUGGCAUUGGAAACUGGCGGGCUUGAGUGUGGCAGAGGGGGGUGGAAUUCCGCGUGUAGCAGUGAAAUGCGUAGAGAUGCGGAGGAACACCGAUGGCGAAGGCAGCCCCCUGGGCUAGCACUGACGCUCAGGCACGAAAGCGUGGGGAGCAAACAGG